CAGAAAUCACCCACCUCCUGCAUUGAUCUCGCUAGGAGCUGCAGACCAGAGCUGUUCCUACUCAGCCAUUUUGUUUUUGUAGGUCAAGAAUUCAGGCACAGUUCAUCUAGGUGGGUCCUCUGCCUCAGAGUCUUCAUGAGACUGUUAUUACGGUGUCAGCCCAGGCUGCAGUCAUCUUAACAUUCAACUGAAGUAGCAUCCACUUCCAAUUUCACUCCAUGGUUGCUAGCAUGAUACAGUUUCUCACAAGCUACUGGACUGAGAACCUCACUUUGUUGCUGGCUGUUUGCAAGAGGCUUUCCUGACUCAUCAACAAAGUAUAUGGUCAACGUUUUAUGUGUUCCCCAAUUUGAAAGGUCAUCUUGUGGACAUGGGGGUCAUGCAGUCCUGUGACAAGAGAGAAACAAUAGCCUCACCUCCCUGACACCCCAAGAAGCUUUGCCAUUUUCUAACCCACCAGUGGUCGCUAUCUUAUAGUAAAUUUGUAUGAGUCUUUCCCAAAUGGAAUAAAGCACUGUCUUAAGCUUGUGGAAAAAUCAAACAACU
rnacentral:lncRNA from 1 species